ACCAGGGGGUUGAACUGGAGCUACCAGGACGCGCAAAGUUUCACUUCUGGCACAAGUGUUAACAUGACCGCAGUCUGUUCAGGAAAUCUUCAGGCUCUGCAGGUGUAAAAGCUCCAUCUCCACUGCAGCUCCAUCAUAUGUGAAGUAGCCUUGUUGUGUGUGCUUCCAUGGCUGCCUCAGAACCGUGGGAGAAAACUUCAGAGCCAGUUCUGCAGUUCCAGUCCCAGCUUUGGAUCUGACCAUGCUACCUUCUAGAUGAAUGACAGCCCUUUGUACAUGGUACUCAGACUGUGAUGAUGUCUCCAAGCCUCAAACCCUGCAAGCUGGGGCUGAGCCUUUGUGUUUUAUGAUCUCCAGCCUUUCUCCAAUGUUCUGCAGUGAUUUCCAGGACAAAUUAUGACUGGAAGGAUGCAUUCAUGUAGAGAAGUAAAAGGAAUCUUGCAAGUACAGUAACCUACAGAUGACAGUCAGCAAGGAUUUGCAGGUACACCGAUCCUGAGGUAGAGAUGUCACUUUGGAGAUGUGACUGGAAAUCUGUCCUAAGAGCACUGACCAGGCCUCCUUCUGGCCUUGUGGAUUCUUCAUGCUUCCAUUUGGUUUCAGGCUUUUUGAUUUUUCCAUCCUCUAAAGCAUCCUCCAGUAAUGCAGUGUUUCCAAAGUGGAAAUGAAAGGCACAGGUGGAGACUCAACUGCCUACUUGUCAUAAGGCUAAAUAUUUCUUCACUCAAGAUGUAAUAAAUCCUGGAGUACUCUCUGCUCUCACAGGAGGAUUUCAGCACGGAGGCAUGCUGCAGAAAGAUCUUCCGGGGAAAAUGUAUUUUUGAGUACUCCAGACAAUUGAAACUAGUGAGCCCACUGUCUGGAGAAAGCAUCUGUAACCGCAGCCAAAAGAGGAACAAGAUUUCCGACAUUGUUUCAAGACAUGUGUUUGAAGCAUGGGUUCCCAUCACUUUCGGAGACUGACAGUGGAAGCACUGCUCAUAAGGUCUGGAAAAAGACUUCUGGAUCAUUCCUGCCUCCAGCUUCCUCUCCCUGUCUGCAGUCAAGGGGUUAUCACAGGCCAGCUGGCAGAGUGGAAAGCACAGCAGUAUAGACAGACAUAGCCGAGAGUUGUGGCAGCCAUUAAUAGAUCAGGCAAGCCCUUGCAGCUGUGUUUUGAUCAGCGGAAAGGUUUUUGGCAUCCAAGAGCUGAAAUCACCUUUUGGGUAUGACAAGUGCAUCGAAGUAUCUAGCAAGUUAAAAUCAAGGGUUUCUGUGAGGAAGGAGUAGGAACACCUACCACAAAAAAUUAAGAGUAAAAUAACCUUUAAUAAUCUCUACAAUGCAAACUCAAUUGUAUGUAUUGCAUUUAAUUGGCGUUUAGCCAUCCAUCAUUUGCUGGCUCAUAAAGCUGAUUUGUGCUCUUUCCUCCUGUCCCUCUUUCCUGGAGCUGCUGGCCUCUUUUCACCACGCCUUUCCCAUAGGCACGUACAACUGGGACCUACACAUUCUUUUGUCUCUUCCUCUGGAACGCUGCUUUUUAUCACAUGGGGAAAGGAGUUUUGUGAGCAGCUUUCUUUCUUCUUUAUUGUUGAAUGCCACUUAUAAACUCUGUCACUAGACUCUUGGAAGGUAUCUAAAAUGCUAGACAAGGAAACAGGUAUAAUUCAGAGGAAAACUGACCUUGAUUGAAUAGGGUCAAAAUGCUUCAACUACCUCUUUCAUUUGAAACUCCUCAUUUAUAGACUCACGCUUCUUUCACCAUAGCUUGAGGGUUGACAUAAAUAUAUGUGGGAUGUGUGUUAGUCUUAAAGAUAGGAAGCUCGGCUAAAUUUAGUGAAUUCUGUGACUAAUCAAACUCUUUGUGAAAAACACACUAUUUCUCCCCCAGAGAGUUGUAAGACUAUAAUUGUUGAGAACACCAGAAGUUGUUUGUUUGUUUCCAGAAAACCACUUUGGGCAUUCCCGCAGUAUUAACAUGUAAUAGACAAGUUAAAGCUCCAACUGCUAAUUGCCAAGUCCAAUUGUAUGUGUUAAUCAGGCUUCUGAGGAAACACAAAAGGUACUAACCUCUAAAUUAUCUGUCUAAAAAAAUUGAAUAUUCGUCUUGGGGUUUACACAUGUAAGGCUAUUCUUAGAAGCAUUUGGAGGCUGUAAGCUACCAAAAAUUUUUGAACAGAAUUCUUGUGGUCAUUUCCAGACUUACUCAGUAUGGAUGUUUCCUGAGCUUUCUGCUGUUGACUGUCGUCACAGGCCUUUUCUGUUGAGUAGAUUGAGAACAGAGAUUUACGAGAAUAUUUGAUGAAGUUUUAUACAGACUGUGUCCCAAGCAUUUAUUUGCUACAUUAUGCACCUCUUUCAACCAAAUGCUGUUUGUUGUUAUGGUAACCCAUUGUAACGAGAGCCAUGUGACCCAUGAAAAUGUUAGCUAGCCAACAAAGUUUGCAGUUUUCACGUACUUUUCAAUGUUUCUGUUUUCAUCUUGUUUAAACAGCAUCUUUCUCAUUGUUCAAACCACAGAUGCACAGGCCUCAUUUUCUUUCUCUCCACUAAGGAUGAUUUACAUUCCAUCAGCAGCAGAAAGACCUGAAAAAUCUGUAGAUGCGAUUAGAAGCACUUUAGUAUCCUCUGGAGCAGCAAAGAGGAGUCUUAAACCGUGUCCUUAUCCCUUCUACUUCUUUGCUAGGAAGAGCUUCUGCUAGGAAUGGUGUGGAUUGGGAGCCAGGAAUCCUUUCUGUCUGAUUCCUGGACUGCUGAAGAACAGCUACACCAACACCCUCACACAGGCGUACUUCCUCACAUUUAUCUUAGGUCAUCACACCUCACUGGAGGCUUCUCUGCUUUAAUGAGCAACUCAGAAACCACAGAGAGGACUGGAGAAUGGAAGUCAUUGGACAUUGUCGUGUUUGAAAACAGCUCCAUAGCAUUCAUAAGAGGAUUCUUGGCACCUGCCUAGUUAAACUGGAUGUCCAAUGUUAUCUCCCC